GCGCGUGUGGCGCAAUGGAUAACGCGUCUGAUUACAGAUCAGAAGAUUCCUGGUUCGAAUCCUGGCACGCUCG